rnacentral:rRNA from 1 species
AUUGAACGCUGGCGGCAUGCUUUACACAUGCAAGUCGAACGGCAGCGCGGGCUUCGGCCUGGCGGCGAGUGGCGAACGGGUGAGUAAUGCAUUGGAACGUGCCCAGUAGUGGGGGAUAGCCCGGCGAAAGCCGGAUUAAUACCGCAUACGACCUGAGGGUGAAAGCGGGGGACCGAAAGGCCUCGCGCUAUUGGAGCGGCCGAUGUCGGAUUAGCUAGUUGGUGGGGUAAAGGCUUACCAAGGCGACGAUCCGUAGCUGGUCUGAGAGGACGACCAGCCACACUGGAACUGAGACACGGCCCAGACUCCUACGGGAGGCAGCAGUGGGGAAUUUUGGACAAUGGGGGCAACCCUGAUCCAGCCAUGCCGCGUGCGGGAAGAAGGCCUUCGGGUUGUAAACCGCUUUUGUUCGGGAAGAAAUCCUCUGGGCUAAUACCCCGGGGUGAUGACGGUACCGGAAGAAUAAGCACCGGCUAACUACGUG